UCGGAAUCCAGUUCCGCUGAUCUAUCAUCUUGGCAAGUUGCAGGCUGCUCUCAAACGGCAUGGCGGCUUUUGGGUCUCCCAUGACCAGCCGUGCGGACGUGCCCUCUGCCUUGCUGCCCCGGCUUGCUGGCAUUUGUCAUCACUUUCCACUUGCGGAAGGCAGGAGAGUAUGAAAAACUUACUGGAAAUGAUGGCAAUCAAAGAGACUGGUGAGAUGGAAGAAGUAAAGAAAUAUUGCUGGACAAAUUGAUGCUAUUGAAGAGACUUGCUCACAUUUGCAGAAGGGUAGUUACCGAUGUGAUACCAUUUGAUCAAGUCUGGGUCUACACAAGAAACAUCAAGAAUAGAAGACUGAGUUCGCACACGUUUAAGGUGAAUUGCAACUCUACCUACCUACCUACACAGCCUUUCAAAUAUCGUUGUUGGUUUAUUUUUCCAGGGUGCUAUUGUAUUGUCAUAGUCCCCUGCCAUAAAGUGUGAAGCAUUUAUGACACCCGCCAUGGUGCACUUUUCUAUGAAUAAAGAAUAUUAUUUCACUGAA